rnacentral:rRNA from 1 species
AGAGCGAACGCUGGCGGAAUGCUUAACACAUGCAAGUCGUGCGGCUGUUGGGGGCGACCCUGGCGGCAGCGGCGGACGGGUGCGUAACGCGUAGGAACAUGUCCGGAGGUGGGGGACAACCCUGGGAAACUGGGGCUAAUACCGCAUGUGGCCUGUGGGCCAAAGCCUUUCGGGGCGCCUUUGGAGUGGCCUGCGUCCGAUUAGCUAGUUGGUGGGGUAAAGGCCUACCAAGGCUACGAUCGGUAGCUGGUCUGAGAGGACGAUCAGCCACACUGGGACUGAGACACGGCCCAGACUCCUACGGGAGGCAGCAGUGGGGAAUAUUGGACAAUGGGCGCAAGCCUGAUCCAGCAAUUCCGCGUGGGUGAAGAAGGUCUUCGGAUUGUAAAGCCCUUUGGCGGGACGAUGAUGACGGUACCGCAGAAGAAGCCCGGCUAACUUCGCGCCAGCAGCCGC